rnacentral:rRNA from 1 species
UACGAAGGGGGCUAGCGUUGUUCGGAAUCACUGGGCGUAAAGCGCACGUAGGCGGAUCGGUAAGUCGGGGGUGAAAUCCCAGGGCUCAACCCUGGAACUGCCUUCGAUACUGGCGAUCUUCGAGUCCGGGAGAGGUGAGUGGAACUCCGAGUGUAGAGGUGAAAUUCGUAGAUAUUCGGAAGAACACCAGUGGCGAAGGCGGCUCACUGGCCCGGUACUGACGCUGAGGUGCGAAAGCGUGGGGAGCAAACGGG